UCAUAUGUACAACUAUUCUCUUCUUAGCUUAAUCGGGCUUGACCCUUCAUCAUAUAUAUAGGAUGAGGUGGACCAUGAGGGGAAAAAUACAACCCUAGACUUAGAUUUGCAUUGGCUGCCUGGUUUUGGGUGGAUCUUCCCAACUCCUUAAUUUUCUCACCCAAGCUCUAAAUCACUACGCUACAAACCCCUGUUUUGCAACGUAUCCCUUGGAAUGAAAACUAGAUACGUUGCCCUCCAUCCCGCCUCCUCAUCUUUACAAUAGAUUAAAAAAGAGCAAAGUGCAUGACCGGCCCCUAUAGCUGCUGGACUGUUUCAAGCCAGUCCAUGAAC
rnacentral:lncRNA from 1 species